UUCUUUUUUAUAAAAUUUAAUUUUUUAUAUUAUUUUUUAAACAAAUUAUUAUUUUAAAAUAUGAUUCUAUUGUUCGAAUCCGUUAGAAAAUUUUAAUUAAUUAUAAAUAAAAUACUUAAUCCUGAUUCAUCCACGACGCAUGUUGCUUCGUCCAUGUCGAAUGCGUGUUGCUUUUCUAUUCAAUUUUCUGUAUAGGUUUUUCUUAUUUUGCUCAAAAUAAAAGAUUUUGGAGAAAAUAAGUGAGAGAAAAGAUUGCAAUAAUAGUGGAUUAGGUUGAGUUUUAAAAAGAGAGAGAAUGAGGAAGAAAAUGAUCAUUAAAAAGUUCUUGGGAGAAUAUUUCUGCACGAUUAUAAUAGUUGAAUUUUUUGAGAGAUAUAUUUGUUAUGGAAAAAUUGACAUUUUAUUUAUCUGCAGUUAAAAGAUAAAUAGUUCGCUAAUGGUAACAAAACAGAGAGACAAAUAUGAAUAUUAUAGAUUUUUUACAGGGAUAACAUAAAAAAGUUAAAUUUCGUAGGAAUAUAUUUACAAUUCACUAUAUUUAUACGAAGCUAUAUACAAUUAACCUUUUUUUUGGUAUUUAUCUUUCUAAA
rnacentral:lncRNA from 1 species